rnacentral:rRNA from 1 species
CAAGACUUGCGCUCUUGGAGCGGCCGAUGUCUGAUUAGCUAGUUGGUGAGGUAAUGGCUUACCAAGGCGACGAUCAGUAGCUGGUCUGAGAGGACGACCAGCCACACUGGGACUGAGACACGGCCCAGACUCCUACGGGAGGCAGCAGUGGGGAAUUUUGGACAAUGGGGGAAACCCUGAUCCAGCCAUGCCGCGUGAGUGAAGAAGGCCUUCGGGUUGUAAAGCUCUUUCAGCCGGAACGAAACGGUCACGGCUAAUAUCCGUGACUACUGACGGUACCGGAAGAAGAAGCACCGGCUAACUACGUGCCAGCAGCCGCGGUAAUACGUAGGGUGCAAGCGUUAAUCGGAAUUACUGGGCGUAAAGCGUGCGCAGGCGGUUUUGUAAGUCAGAUGCGAAAGCCCCGGGCUUAACCUGGGAACU